GACGAACCGUGCGAACGUUGUUCGGAAUCAUUGGGCGUAAAGAGCUCGUAGGCGGUUCGGCAAGUCACGUGUGAAAUCUCCACGCUUAACGUGGAGGCGCCACGUGAAACUGCCGUGACUCGAGUCCGGUAGGGGAGUGUGGAAUUCCCGGUGUAGCGGUGAAAUGCGCAGAUAUCGGGAGGAACACCAGUAGCGAAGGCGGCACUCUGGGCCGGUACUGACGCUGAGGAGCGAAAGCGUGGGGAGCGAACAGG
rnacentral:rRNA from 1 species